UGGGGAAUCUUGGACAAUGGGGGCAACCCUGAUCCAGCCAUGCCGCGUGAGUGAUGAAGGCCUUAGGGUCGUAAAGCUCUUUCGCCUGUGAAGAUAAUGACGGUAGCAGGUAAAGAAACCCCGGCUAACUCCGUGCCAGCAGCCGCGGUAAUACGGAGGGGGUUAGCGUUGUUCGGAAUUACUGGGCGUAAAGCGCACGUAGGCGGACCAGAAAGUUGGGGGUGAAAUCCCGGGGGCUCAACCCCGGAACUGCCUCCAAAACUAUUGGUCUAGAGUUCGAGAGAGGUGAGUGGAAUUCCAAGUGUAGAGGUGAAAUUCGUAGAUAUUUGGAGGAACACCAGUGGCGAAGGCGGCUCACUGGCUCGAUACUGACGCUGAGGUGCGAAAGUGUGGGGAGCAAACAGGAUUAGAUACCCUGGUAGUCCACACCGUAAACGAUGAAUGCCAGUCGUCGGGUAGCAUGCUAUUCGGUGACACACCUAACGGAUUAAGCAUUCCGCCUGGGGAGUACGGUCGCAAGAUUAAAA
rnacentral:rRNA from 1 species